rnacentral:rRNA from 1 species
AGUGAACGCUGGCGGUAGGCCUAACACAUGCAAGUCGAACGGCAGCACAGUAAGAGCUUGCUCUUACGGGUGGCGAGUGGCGGACGGGUGAGGAAUACAUCGGAAUCUACUUUUUCGUGGGGGAUAACGUAGGGAAACUUACGCUAAUACCGCAUACGACCUACGGGUGAAAGCAGGUGAUCUUCGGACCUUGCGCGAUUGAAUGAGCCGAUGUCGGAUUAGCUAGUUGGCGGGGUAAAGGCCCACCAAGGCGACGAUCCGUAGCUGGUCUGAGAGGAUGACCGGCCACAAGGGAACUGAGACAGGGCCAAGACUCCUAGGGGAGGCAGCAGGGGGGAAUUUGGAACGAUGGGCGAAAGCUUGACCGAGCAACGCCGGGGGGGUGAAGAAGGCCUGGGGAUUGUAAAGCUUUGUUAUGGGAAAAAAAAAACAGAGGAUUAAACCCCGCUUGUCUGGACGGUACCAAAAAAGAAAGCCCGGGCUAACUUCGUG